GACGAACGCUGGCGGUGUGCUUCACACAUGCAAGUCGAACGAGGUAGCAAUACUUAGUGGCGGACGGGUGAGUAACGCGUGGGAAUCUGCCUUUAGAUGGGGGAUAACGGGUCGAAAGACUCGCUAAUACCGCAUAUGACGAAAGUUGAAAGGAGUAAUCCGUCUAAAGAUGAGCCCGCGUCCGAUUAGCUAGUUGGUAGAGUAAAAGCCUACCAAGGUGACGAUCCGGUAGCUGGUCUGAGAGGAUGAUCAGCCACAAUGGGACUAGAGACACGGCCCAUAACUCCUACGGAGGCAGCAGUGGGAAUUUUACGCAAUGGGCGAAAGCCUGACGUAGCGACACCGCGUGAGCGAAGAAGCCCCUUGGGGUGUAAAGCUCUGUCAGCUGGACGGAAAAAUGACGGUACCAGCAGAGGAAGCAUCGGCUAACUACGUGCCAGCAGCCGCGGUAAU
rnacentral:rRNA from 1 species